UGGGGAAUAUUGGACAAUGGGGGCAACCCUGAUCCAGCAAUGCCGCGUGUGUGAAGAAGGUCUUCGGAUUGUAAGGCACUUUCGACGGGGACGAUGAUGACGGUACCCGUAGAAGAAGCCCCGGCUAACUUCGUGCCAGCAGCCGCGGUAAUACGAAGGGGGCUAGCGUUGCUCGGAAUGACUGGGCGUAAAGGGCGUGUAGGCGGUUUACACAGUCAGAUGUGAAAUCCCCGGGCUUAACCUGGGAGCUGCAUUUGAUACGUGUAGACUAGAGUGUGAGAGAGGGUUGUGGAAUUCCCAGUGUAGAGGUGAAAUUCGUAGAUAUUGGGAAGAACACCGGUGGCGAAGGCGGCAACCUGGCUCAUGACUGACGCUGAGGCGCGAAAGCGUGGGGAGCAAACAGGAUUAGAUACCCUGGUAGUCCACGCCUGUAAACGAUGUGUGCUAGAUGUUGGGUAACUUUGUUAUUCAGUGUCGCAGUUAACGCGUUAAGCACACCGCCUGGGGAGUACGGCCGCA
rnacentral:rRNA from 1 species